UUUCUCUCAUCUUCUUCAUCUUUUUCUUUUCUUUUCGAUUUUAACUGAGAACAACUACAACAAGGAGGAUGGUUGGGAUUUUUUUUGGGUGCAAAAAAUUGGAAAUGUCUUUCAGCCUCCAGCAUCUCAAUGAGAGUAAGCAACUGGUAGUGGAAUCCUCUGGAAUGUAUAUGUUGGAAAAGCUUUCAGGUUAGAUUUUGAGAUCUAAAUAAGCCUUUACCGUCAAGAUUUUGCAUAAAUCCUAAGGGUAUAGAUGGAGAAUUAAGAGGCGAAUUUGACAGAAAAUUUGCAGGCUUGGAGUGAAUGGUUCCAAUAGAGCAAAACGAAAGCUUUCCAAAUAUCAUAUGCAAGGGUACAUAAUCUGGAAAUUUCCUCCACCAUCUUCAUGCGGUUUUCUAAGCCUUGUUUUUCCCUUUCGAAGGGCCAGAUUUUUUUUCUUCUGAUAGAGUUGUUGGACGAUAGGCUCAAGGCAGAAAAGUGGCUGAAACAGCGAGAAAGGGAAGUUCAAUAUUUUGUCCCGACUAUCUAUGCGAAUUUGUAGAAUACAGAUAUGCAGGGAGGAAAAAUGACCACCCGUGAAAGGCAACUGCUGUGGGAAAAAUGUGUUUUGUUGAUCUCCUGCUCAAAAAAAGCAAUCCAUAUGGGAAUCAGGAACUUCCCUGUCAAGUUAAUCAUUGAUCAAAAUUUUGAGUUACACUAGCAGUACCUAUUAUCUUUUGCUUGAAGAUGAUUAAUGCAAAAGAUAUUAAAGCCAAAUUUGUAAUCGAGGCAGCUAAUCAUCCUACUAAUCCAGAGGCAGAUGAGAUAUUAACAAAGAAGGGAGUUGUUAUACUCCCAGACAUAUAGGCAAAUUCCGGAGGUCUUACAGUCAAUUACUUCAAGUGGGUUCAGUUAUGUGAUAGAAGAAGAAUGAACAACAACUAUUGAUCUGAUUGAUAUUUGGAUAGCUGGAACUUGGAAGCUAAUGGAAGCUUAUGGAGUUUUGUCAUGAAUGCUUGAUACUUUGUUUUGUCCUUUCCAAUAUCUUUACCAGAAGUCAUUAGUUACUUCAACAGCCACUUGCUAUAGUAGAGAUAUCAAACUUUGUGAUGCUUUUUUUUUUUUUUUGAAAUUUUGACCACUAAUACAUAGUUUCACUAUAAUUGGCUGAUUGAACGCGACGGAAGAUAAGAAAGACGAGAGGCAUUUCUAGAUAUGACAGUCAAUAUUUCUGGAUGAAUGUAUCUUAUAUCUUAAAUUGUAACUUUUCACAGGUAAUGAGAUGCAUCGUACAGUUGGUGAGCUUACCUCAA